UACGGGGGGGGCAAGCGUUGUUCGGAAUUACUGGGCGUAAAGGGCUCGUAGGUGGCCAACUAAGUCAUACGUGAAAUCCCUCGGCUUAACCGGGGAACUGCGUCUGAUACUGGAUGGCUUGAGGUUGGGAGAGGGAUGCGGAAUUCCAGGUGUAGCGGUGAAAUGCGUAGAUAUCCGGAGGAACACCGGUGGCGAAGGCGGCUUCCUGGACCAAUUCUGACACUGAGGAGCGAAAGCCAGGGGAGCAAACGGG
rnacentral:rRNA from 1 species